rnacentral:misc_RNA from 1 species
UCCGAGUUGACCCCGGCAGUCUCCUGCGAGUCCCCGCCAUUACGCGCUGGCAACACAGGACAAGGGUUGCGCUCGUUGCGGGACUUAACCCAACAUCUCACGACACGAGCUGACGACAGCCAUGCACCACCUGUGCAGGACGCCGAAGCACACCGUGUUUCCACGGCUUUUCCCUGCAUGUCAAGCCCAGGUAAGGUUCUUCGCGUUGCUUCGAAUUAAGCCGCAUGCUCCGCCGCUUGUGCGGGGACCCGUCAAUUCCUUUGAGUUUUAAUCUUGCGACCGUACUCCCCAGGCGGCGCGUUUAUCGCGUUAGCUUCGCCACAGAAGGGGUCGAUUCCUCCUACAGCAAACGCGCACCGUUUAGGGCCGGGACUAC